rnacentral:rRNA from 1 species
UACGUAGGGCGCAAGCGUUGUCCGGAAUUAUUGGGCGUAAAGAGCUCGUAGGCGGCCAGUUGCGUCCGCUGUGAAAUCCCGGGGCUUAACCCCGGGCGUGCAGUGGAUACGGGCUGGCUAGAGGCAGGCAGGGGAGAACGGAAUUCCCGGUGUAGCGGUGGAAAUGACGCAGAUAUCGGGAGGAACACCGGUGGCGAAGGCGGUUCUCUGGGCCUGUACUGACGCUGAGGAGCGAAAGCGUGGGGAGCAAACAGG